GACCUAUGCCUCAAACUAUAGUGGCGCAGAUACAUACGAUUGUGAUCGAGUUGAAGAGAUUGCAGAAGCACUUGAAGGAGAUCUUAAGGAUUGUCAAAAUGUUUGAGAGGUUGGUAAGUGAUGCAGAGAAACCUUUGUAUGAUGGUUGCACUAAAAUCACAAGAUUGUCUGCGGUAUUAAAGUUGUACAACUUAAAGGCGGGCAAUGGAUGGUCG
rnacentral:lncRNA from 1 species